UCCAUCUGAUGUUUGGACGUGUUUGGAGUUUCUUCCUUCUGGUGGGUUCCUGAUCUCGCUGGCUUCAGCAGUGAAGUUGCAGACCUUCACGCUUUGAGAACUAGAUUAAGUAAUUCCUGCAAGGCAAACCAAGUGAUGAUGAGCUCUCUCAGCUUCUGUUUGUCUGAUAAACUUUCUAUUCUCUCUCACUUCUGAAGGAAAGCUUUGCCAGGGUUUCAUUCAUUUUAAAGCUAACAGAAAAACAACAGAUUUUUAUAAUUAAGUUCCUGAGAAACCAUGAUAAAUACAGCAUUACACAUACUGUCGAUGAUAUUUUGGAUUUUGUAAGACACCAGAGAUCAAAACAUGCCAAAUUGGACUUCUUGUCAUUGUCUAUACAAACAAAACUCACAGACAUCAAAGCCACUAUGACCAUGCUGCUGAUGCAAGGACUGGUGUGUGCAAGAAAGUUUGUAUUUGGAACCAUCUCUAUCUUACACUUUUCAAAGUAAGAUAACCUAGGUACUUCCUACUUAAAACUCACAUGUCAAUAUGUUUUUGUGCUUCUCAAAACCUUCCUGGGCUAAGGCACAUGGAGCAAAUGUUAAUUUGCUCAAGAGUCCUGUCCUUUGCCUGUGUUUGUUACCAUUAAACUAUGACAUGGGCAUCAUGGCUUCUCCUGAAGUCAUUGUUUAUGCUUUCAUCAUAUUAUUCUCCCUUGCAAAUGCUAUUGUUCCUGAGUAUAAUAAA
rnacentral:lncRNA from 1 species